rnacentral:rRNA from 1 species
AGUGAACGCUGGCGGUAGGCCUAACACAUGCAAGUCGAACGGCAGCACAGUAAGAGCUUGCUCUUACGGGUGGCGAGUGGCGGACGGGUGAGGAAUACAUCGGAAUCUACUUUUUCGUGGGGGAUAACGUAGGGAAACUUACGCUAAUACCGCAUACGACCUACGGGUGAAAGCAGGGGAUCUUCGGACCUUGCGCGAUUGAAUGAGCCGAUGUCAUUAGCUAGUUGGCGGGGUAAAGGCCCACCAAGGCGACGAUCCGUAGCUGGUCUGAGAGGAUGAUCAGCCACACUGGAACUGAGACACGGUCCAGACUCCUACGGGAGGCAGCAGUGGGGAAUAUUGGACAAUGGGCGCAAGCCUGAUCCAGCCAUACCGCGUGGGUGAAGAAGGCCUUCGGGUUGUAAAGCCCUUUUGUUGGGAAAGAAAAGCAGCAGGUUAAUACCCCGCUGUUCUGACGGUACCCAAAGAAUAAGCACCGGCUAACUUCGUG